UACGGGGGGGGCAAGCGUUGUUCGGAAUUACUGGGCGUAAAGGGCUCGUAGGCGGCCAACUAAGUCCGACGUGAAAUCCCAAGGCUUAACCUUGGAACUGCGUCGGAUACUGGAUGGCUUGAAUUCGGGAGAGGGAUGCAGAAUUCCAGGUGUAGCGGUGAAAUGCGUAGAUAUCUGGAGGAACACCGGUGGCGAAGGCGGCAUCCUGGACCGGCAUUGACGCUGAGGCGCGAAAGCUAGGGGAGCAAACGGGG
rnacentral:rRNA from 1 species